rnacentral:rRNA from 1 species
AUUGAACGCUGGCGGCAUGCCUUACACAUGCAAGUCGAACGGUAACAGGUCUUCGGAUGCUGACGAGUGGCGAACGGGUGAGUAAUACAUCGGAACGUGCCUAGUAGUGGGGGAUAACUACUCGAAAGAGUGGCUAAUCCCGCAUGAGAUCUACGGAUGAAAGCAGGGGAUCGCAAGACCUUGUGCUACUAGAGCGGCCGAUGGCAGAUUAGGUAGUUGGUGGGAUAAAAGCUUACCAAGCCGACGAUCUGUAGCUGGUCUGAGAGGACGAUCGGCCACACUGGGACUGAGACACGGCCCAGACUCCUACGGGAGGCAGCAGUGGGGAAUUUUGGACAAUGGGCGAAAGCCUGAUCCAGCAAUGCCGCGUGCAGGAUGAAGGCCUUCGGGUUGUAAACUGCUUUUGUACGGAACGAAAAGCCCUGGGUUAAUACCCUGGGGUCAUGACGGUACCGUAAGAAUAAGCACCGGCUAACUACGUGCCAGCCGCCGCGGUAA